AAGGGAGACCUAAUUCCGGUAGGAGACGAAAAAAAAGUAGUCCCAACCAAGAAUCAAUCCCAAAAGGUCGGAACGAGGUAUGAGGCUUUCAAACUAGGUUCUGGGUUCAUAAAAGACCUGAAUCAGGAACAAGGGCUAUUAGCUCAGGUGGUUAGAGCGCACCCCUGAUAAGGGUGAGGUCCCUGGUUCGAGUCCAGGAUGGCCCACCUGCACAGGUGGCAAAAACAAAGAAAAAAAGCGAGGAAUCAGCACCUGAUCUUACUUGUACAGUAAGAGAGAAUGCUGGCUCUGAGUACAGAGUCCAGAGGAACCUUGAAAACUGCAUAGAGCUAGGUGAAAAAGCCAAAAAAGAAGACCGCAA
rnacentral:tRNA from 1 species